ACUUUGUUGUUGUGAGAAAUCCCAAUUUUAGUAGAUAUGUAAGGUUCAAUAUCAUGCAGGCUAUUGUGCUCGAUGUGCUUCUUAUUUUUCCAGAUUUGCUGGAGAGGAGUUUUAAUCCUAGAGAUGGAUUGGGAUUGGAUUUGUUGAUGAGUUUGGACAGUACUGUAUUUCUUUACCUUUUGGUUUGUCUGAUUUAUGGAUCUAGUUCUUGUUUGCUGGGUCAGGUUCCUAGGUUGCCCAUUGUUGCAGAAGCUGCUGAUAGGCAGGUUCUUUAAAUUAAACACCCAAUUUGGGUUUUUGUUUAUUGCUGCUGUACUGCAUUUGUAAUUUAUUCUGCCAAAAGAAGAAAAUAAAUUUAUUAUAUUUGAGGAUAGGAAUUGGAGUAAUUUUAGUGAUAUCAUUUCUACACAUGCUUCACAACA
rnacentral:misc_RNA from 1 species